UGGGGUGUGGCUCAGUGGUACAGCACCCAUGUCUGGUGUGCAGGAGGCCCUGGGCUCGAUCCCAGCACUACAG
rfam:Ictidomys tridecemlineatus contig055265, whole genome shotgun sequence.